GCUAGCCGUGGUGUGGUGGUUAACACAUUUGAUUUAUACUUUUUGAAUGACCCAGGUUCGAUGCCUG